AUCAGCAUGGUUUAGUGGUUUGAGUGUUGGACUAUGACUCUAGAGACCAGGGUUCUAUUCCCAGCUCUGCUU